CACACACACACACACACACACACACACACACACACACACACACACACACACACAAAAUCAAGAUUUUGUUUUUUUACAGCCUGAAUUCAAAAUAUCUUUCCCCAGGCAAAUGAUACCCUUCCCAGUACACACACACAUCUUUCCCCAGGCAAAUGAUACCCUUCCUAGUACACACACACAUCUUUCCCCAGGUAAAUGAUACCCUUCUCAGUACACACGCACACACAUUUCUCUUUCCCCAGGUAAAUGAUACCCUUCUCAGUACACACACUCACACAUUUCUCUUUCCCCAGGUAAGUGAUACUCUUUUCAGUCUACACACACACGUACGUUAGCAGUGUUGGUUUUAUGUAUUAUAUUGUAAUCAGAUGUCUGCCUAAUGCAAACCAAAUGGUGGUGAGCAGCUCAAAAGGUUAAACGAUACAUCAAUAUAUCAGUUUUAUUGAUCUUCCACGGGCAAAAUCCGACAUCACGCUUUAAUCCUCGCCGUUGUAGGGCAUAAAUCAGAGUUUCUGACGUUUAGGGUGUUUGACAGUUAACUUAAUGAAAUCUAUACAUGGAGAGAUCAUGACCUGUUGGUCUGGUGUGGCCACAGUGUCAGCAUGGUGGAACGUAGUUGGAAAGUCGUCAGGGUGCCUGCCUGGGCCUUUAAAAGCCGUUAAAAUACUUCACUGAAAUUAACUUAAAGGGGUUGUCCAUCAUACCAGGAGCCGUUUUACUUUACAGGGGAGGUCAGUGGAGGUACAGAACGUUCUGCCUUUACCGUGUUUAGGGUUACUACCCACCAAGCUGAAGGCAGUUAGUGUAUCGGAGGAGUCUGCACUAAUGAUAGAUUUACACACUUGUGUUUUUACUCCAGAAAGAUUUUACUCCAGCAGACACAUCAACAACUAGGUAUAUUAAUGGUUCAGAGAGUGUGUUUUUACUCCAGCAGACACAUGCAACAACUAGGUAUAUUAAUGGUUCAGAGAGUGUGUUUUUACUCCAGCAGACACAUGCAACAACUAGGUAUAUUAAUGGUUCAGAGAGUGUGUUUUUACUCCAGCAGACACAUGCAGGUAUAUUAAUGUUUCAGAGAGUGUGUUUUUACUCCAGCAGACACAUGCAGGUAUAUUAAUGGUUCAGAGAGUGUGUUUUUACUCCAGCAGACACAUGCAGGUAUAUUAAUGUUUCAGAGAGUGUGUUUUUACUCCAGAAGACACAUGCAACAACUAGGUAUAUUAAUGUUUCAGAGAGUGUGUUUUUACUCCAGAAGACACAUGCAGGUAUAUUAAUGGUUCAGAGAGUGUGUUUUUACUCCAGCAGACACAUGCAGGUAUAUUAAUGGUUCAGAGAGUGUGUUUUUACUCCAGCAGACACAUGCAGGUAUAUUAAUGUUUCAGAGAGUGUGUUUUUACUCCAGCAGACACAUGCAGGUAUAUUAAUGUUUCAGAGAGUGUGUUUUUACUCCAGUAGACACAUGCAACAACUAGGUAUAUUAAUGGUUCAGAGUGUGUUUUUGCUCCUUCAGACAAAUGAAGGUAUAUUAAUGGUUCAGAGAGUGUGUUUUUACUCCAGCAGACACAUGCAGGUAUAUUAAUGUUUCAGAGAGUGUGUUUUUACUCCAGCAGACACAUCAACAACUAGGUAUAUUAAUGGUUCAGAGAGUGUGUUUUUACUCCAGCAGAGACAUGCAACAACUAGGUAUAUUAAUGGUUCAGAGAGUGUGUUUUUACUCCAGCAGACACAUGCAACAACUAGGUAUAUUAAUGGUUCAGAGAGUGUGUUUUUACUCCAGCAGACACAUGCAGGUAUAUUAAUGGUUCAGAGAGUGUGUUUUUACUCCAGCAGACACAUGCAGGUAUAUUAAUGGUUCAGAGAGUGUGUUUUUACUCCAGCAGACACAUGCAGGUAUAUUAAUGUUUCAGAGAGUGUGUUUUUACUCCAGCAGACACAUGCAGGUAUAUUAAUGGUUCAGAGACUGUGUUUUUACUCCAGCAGACACAUGCAGGUAUAUUAAUGUUUCAGAGAGUGUGUUUUUACUCCAGCAGACACAUGCAGGUAUAUUAAUGUUUCAGAGAGUGUGUUUUUACUCCAGCAGACACAUGCAGGUAUAUUAAUGUUUCAGAGAGUGUGUUUUUACUCCAGCAGACACAUGCAGGUAUAUUCAUGUUUCAGAGAGUGUGUUUUUACUCCAGCAGACACAUGCAGGUAUAUUAAUGGUUCAGAGAGUGUGUUUUUACUCCAGCAGACACAUGCAGGUAUAUUAUUGGUUCAGAGAGUGUGUUUUUACUCCAGCAGACACAUGCAGGUAUAUUAAUGGUUCAGAGAGUGUGUUUUUUUGCUCAGCACAUUUGUUUGCAAGUAGAUGUUUUAUAUGAUGGAAUAUUGAGACUUUUAUGUUAAUGACAGUUUUAUACAUGUUAUUUUAGAAUGUUUACUAUUGGUGUUGUUGGUAGCACUUAAUAUGCUGUAAUACUACUGUAAAUUGUUUUGCUUGUAUGUCAAGUGAGUCAGUCAUUUAUGUAUAUUGAGUUAAACUUAACCAAAGUCUAAUUCAAUUGCGGCGUGAAGUUGUUGUUAAAUGUGUGUUGUUAAAUGUGCAGUCAAAAUACUCAAAUUUAUACCAACGCUCGUUGGUUUGCACAAUGGCUAUAUAGUGGGAAAAGGGCUAGUGAACAUAGUCAGCUAUCUCCUAGGUAUGUUCUCUAUAACAUCAAUGGUGAACAUAGUCAGCUAUCUCCUAGGUAUGUUCUCUACAACAUCAAUGGUGAACAUAGUCAGCUAUCUCCUAGGUAUGUUCUCUCCAACAUCACUCCUCAGAACGUGCUGUUCCAAUCCUCAAGGCUCAGCAAAGUAACAGCAUAUUCUAUAGGUGGCUCCCAUGUAAAACAAUUUGGUAUUUAACAACCAUGUCCAUUCUAGCUUUUCCAUUUCUAUGACUUCCUUCUUGAAGCGCUGUCUGUCGGUCUGUCUCCUGCUGUAGUUGAACUUGACCCCGUCCUCUCCUCUGUUUGAGAAGACCCAGGGCACCGUGCGAGACGUGGCGUUGAGACGCCCUCUGUCUGAUAGUGACCUCCUAAUGAACUGCAGUGUGGGACUGACUGUGGUACAGUGCUUUAGCAGCUUUACUAUGACCUCUGACCUCUCACCCCACAUCAAAGGGAGCAGGGGUCAGGUGGGACCCCCUGUUAAACACCAAUAUUAUCAGUGCAGCAACCUGGCUCCUGUAAAGCACCACAAAGUGGCAGGCAGACUUUACCAUCCCUCAGAG